CCCCUCCCAACCCCGAUUCAGUGUCAUUUCUGUCAUGCAUUUCCUGUGCAAACAAAAUAUGAGGUAGGCCUACAAACGGACAUGAGAGUGGCAUAACGUCAGCCGCAGAUCUAUGAUACCGGAGGAACUGCGUCGUUCCGUCGCAGGGCCGCGGCGAUCCCGUCAUCCAUCAGUGCAUGGAUUUUAACGAAAGAGCGAUGGCCUGACGUCCGGUGUUUACGCCGCUCGUUUCAGCUUUCCACUAACUCUCACCGACUUUAAAUGAAAGCUCAUUUUCACAGACAGCUCAACAUGUCUUUCUGUCAAGAGCCGCAUAUGAGAUUGAACCAGGGGGAUGGACUGGGACUAUAAAACAGCCGGGGACAGAUGCUGGCCGAAUGCUGCUGUUGCAUGCUGUUAUAUAGUUCAUUUACUUCAGCAGGAUAACGUGCUAACAUGCAGCCCUGUUGCUUUUAACACAUGUGGAGCGAAUGGAGGCGACCUGUGGAGGCCACUCGCUGUGAACAGCGGCGUGUGACUGCAAGCAGACAGACUCUGUUGCUGCUGUCAGGUGGAGGGUGAAUAAUGUGCUAACGACUUAAACCAGCGGAGAGCGAGUGUGAGGACGACCGGAGAGCCAGGCGAGAAUGACGUGUUUUGCAGGACCGAGGCAGCAGAAAGAAAGAAAUAAAGAAAGAGAGACGGAAUGACACAAGGAAAGUGAAGAGGAGCUUAACUCAAGUCCUUGUCAGGAGGUCUCGUGUCUCCUUAGAGAGAGGACACUGGGUCACAGGAACCGCGGCUCUGCCAGACGCAGUCAACAGAUGCAAAUCCUCUGAAUAGGCCUCAUUAGCACUUAGCACUUACAACCAGACCAGAUGUCACGCCAAACCUAUUUUCAUACAAAUUCGGCUAAUUAAUUCGUAAAAAAACCUGCUGCUCCUUAAGGGAGAUGUGGGAGAAAUGGCAUCAUGAAUCGUAUUUAAAUUCCCAUUUCCUAGCGGAGAGGAGAGGAGCGCAGCAUUCUGGUUUGUUGGGAUUAAAGAGAGAAGGGGAAAUCACCAUCACAAUGGGG
ensembl:lncRNA